rnacentral:lncRNA from 1 species
CGGCGGCGGAGAGGCGGCCAGCGGCGGCGCGGCGGAGAGGCGGAUAGCGGCGGAGAGGCGGACAGCGGCGGAGAGGCGGACAGCGGCGGCGCGGCGGAGAGACGGACAGCGGCGGAGAGGCGGACAGCGGCGGCGCGGCGGAGAGACGGAUAGCGGCGGAGAGGCGGACAGCGGCGGCGCGGCGGAGAGGCGGACAGCGGCGGAGAGGUGGACAGCGGCGGAGAGGCGGACAGCGGCGGCGCGGCGGAGAGACGGACAGCGGCGGAGAGGCGGACAGCGGCGGCGCGGCGGAGAGGCGGACAGCGGCGGCGCGGCGGAGAGACGGACAGCGGCGGAGAGGCAGACAGCGGCGGCGAGGCGCGCAGCGGCGGCGCAGGCGCGGAGAGGCGCUGGCGCCGGCUCUGGCGCGGAGAGGUGCAGGCCCAG